GAUGAACGCUGGCGGCGUGCCUAAUACAUGCAAGUCGAGCGAACAGACGAGGAGCUUGCUCCUCUGACGUUAGCGGCGGACGGGUGAGUAACACGUGGAUAACCUACCUAUAAGACUGGGAUAACUUCGGGAAACCGGAGCUAAUACCGGAUAAUAUAUUGAACCGCAUGGUUCAAUAGUGAAAGACGGUUUUGCUGUCACUUAUAGAUGGAUCCGCGCCGCAUUAGCUAGUUGGUAAGGUAACGGCUUACCAAGGCAACGAUGCGUAGCCGACCUGAGAGGGUGAUCAGCCACACUGGAACUGAGACACGGUCCAGACUCCUACGGGAGGCAGCAGUAGGGAAUCUUCCGCAAUGGGCGAAAGCUUGACGGAGCAACGCCGCGUGAGUGAUGAAGGUCUUCGGAUCGUAAAACGCUGUUAUUAGGGAAGAACAAAUGUGUAAGUAACUAUGCACGUCUUGACGGUACCUAAUCAGAAAGCCACGGCUAACUACGUG
rnacentral:rRNA from 1 species